UAUUAAAAAUAUGAAAACUAUUAACUCACUUGUUUCUUCCAUUUAUGUAUACCUUUUAUCAAACAUCACAAAUUUUAAACCACACAAUUAAACAUUUCUUGAUAAAUACCUUGCCGGACAUGAAUGAGGAACUUUGGUCGGCUCUGGUUGUCUUGAGUCAACUAAAUGAGUCAACCUGUUUCCGAAAGAAGAUAGAAUUUUCAACUUAGAGACCAAGCCGGGUUGAAAUUUAAUUGAAUUAAGUUAAGAUGAGUCCCUGAGUUGACGCAACGAGCUCUCAAUCAAAGGCUCCUCCUUGCGCAUAAAACACUCAGAAGAGCUUACUAAAAUGAAGAUUGCUAUGGCAUUCCUUAAUAUUAUCUUAUAAAAAGUUAGUAGAGAUCUGGAUUAUCCAUUAAGAUAGGGCAUUUAGGGAAUUUUGUUGUUCAUAGGGAAUUCUGGUACACAGAUAAUUUUGGGACCUCAGAAUAGUGUAGAGACCUGUAGGGGCCUUUGAUCUUAAUGAAAAGGUCCCUUAUCAAAAAACUUUGCCUGCACCUUAGCAAGAGAAUCUAUGGCUAGGGAGAGACAAGUGGUAGGCAACCCUCAGUCCAUGUCA
rnacentral:lncRNA from 1 species